rnacentral:rRNA from 1 species
UACGAAGGGUGCAAGCGUUACUCGGAAUUACUGGGCGUAAAGCGCGCGCAGGCGGUCUUCCAAGUCAGUGGUGAAAGCCCGGAGCUCAACUCCGGAACUGCCAUUGAAACUGUUGGACUUGAGUACGAGAGAGGUGAGUGGAAUUCCCAGUGUAGAGGUGAAAUUCGUAGAUAUUGGGAAGAACACCGGUGGCGAAGGCGGCUCACUGGCUCGUAACUGACGCUCAGGCGCGACAGCGUGGGGAUCAAACAGG